GACGGAGGGACAGAGACUCACGCUCGGCGGAGCACGGAGGCGCCUCUCCGAGACGGGGAUGAGGAUGGCGCCGUCUGCUCGCCGCUUCCUUCACCUCCUUGGCGUUGCUGCUGGGCUUUCCUCGCCAGUUCUUGAACCAGAAGAACAGCGGCUGGCACCCGCGAGCGGCACCGGGGACUCUAAACGCGUUGCCUGUGCUCAGGUGACGGGCUUGGUGCCAGCUGAGCACAGGAUUCUGCCUUACUGCAAAGGCAGCUCCAUAGCCGUGGUCUGGAGUCUCUCCGGCUCGGGUAGGAGCUGGCAGCAUCCCACUUCCCUACCUCCAGUCUAGGACCAUGUGGCUGCUGCAGCCUACUUCAAAACGAUGGCAGACUAGCAAGCAGCGGUGGUUUCCUGUGUUUUGGAAUGUUAGCAUCAGCACCACUUUAAUCAGUAGACAGCUGUGGCUAAAGGUGAAAAUGAAAGCCCUCUGUGCAUUAUAAACAAAAAACCUAGGAAUCAUCCAGCUAUGAGUAUUUAAGACAGUUGAGGUUUCAGGAGGCAGUUCUGUUGCUCCAUCUGAUAACACAAGUCUGCCAAAAGACAGCCCUCUUUAUAGUCAUAGGAUUCUGGUUUCCGCCCACCUUCAAAGCGUGGAAAUUCAUCGGGAGUAGGAAGUAAACCCUUCCGGCCUCCUGCGCAGUAAGAGAUGCAGUGGACAGGAGACGUUGGAUUCGUGACAAUACUGU